rnacentral:tRNA from 1 species
AGCUCAAUUGGAUAGAGUGGCUGGCUUCGAACCAGUAGGUUGGAGGUUCGAGUCCUCCC